UCGUUCCGAGCCCGUGUAUGCCCAGAAAUAUCCUCCGAUUCCGUUCGAUUUUGUGGCCCCUUUUGCACGAAAUUUUGCCUAUAAAUACCCCAUAUUCCUCUCAAUAUUUUGACCCCAAAAGCCCCAAUUUUUGCGCCGCCAGGCUGCGCAAAUUUCUCGCCGGAGUUCCGAUCUGCAACCACCAUUGUUGGAGCUCGGAGAGCACUGGGACGCCGGUAAUUCCUCGCCGGAGUUUUCGCCGGAGUUCACCAUCGCCCGGAGCUCCAUUCGCCCGUAGCUGCCACCCGAGAGAGAGGAACACGACGGAAAAGACACCUCUGUGACCGCUGUUGUCCGCUGCAUCUCGACGUCCACUUCGCCGCCGCCAAAAACCGUCGGAACCGUCGCCAAGUUCAUCGUCUGAGCCGCCGUCGCCACCGUCAUCCAUUGAUUCCGAUUGCUCGGAGUGCAACGAUUGCGACUGCAACGAUUGUCUGAACAACACCCAAGG